UGCCCCAUGGCUGAGUUGGUUACAGCGUCCGACUGUUAUCCAUGAAGAAGACUGACAUCGGAAGGUCGUGAGUUCGAGCCUCACUGGGGCAG